ensembl:snRNA U1 U1 spliceosomal RNA
UUGUUUAACAGUAGGGCUUCUAACCCACAGCCUUCAGCAUGGUUAGUGUAUCACACUAUCCAAGAAUUCCCUAAAUGUGGGAAUCUCGAUUGCAUAAUUUGUGGUAGUGGGGGACUGCGUUCGCGCUCUCCCCUG